rnacentral:rRNA from 1 species
GAUGAACGCUGGCGGCGUGCCUAAUACAUGCAAGUCGAGCGAACAGACGAGGAGCUUGCUCCUCUGACGUUAGCGGCGGACGGGUGAGUAACACGUGGAUAAUCUACCUAUAAGACUGGGAUAACUUCGGGAAACCGGAGCUAAUACCGGAUAAUAUAUUGAACCGCAUGGUUCAAUAGUGAAAGACGGUUUUGCUGUCACUUAUAGAUGGAUCCGCGCCGCAUUAGCUAGUUGGUAAGGUAACGGCUUACCAAGGCAACGAUGCGUAGCCGACCUGAGAGGGUGAUCGGCCACACUGGAACUGAGACACGGUCCAGACUCCUACGGGAGGCAGCAGUAGGGAAUCUUCCGCAAUGGGCGAAAGCCUGACGGAGCAGCGCCGCGUGAGUGAUGAAGGUCUUCGGAUCGUAAAACUCUGUUAUUAGGGAAGAACAAAUGUGUAAGUAACUAUGCACGUCUUGACGGUACCUAAUCAGAAAGCCACGGCUAACUACGUG